rnacentral:misc_RNA from 1 species
GCAAACUUGGUCAUUUAGAGGAAGUAAAAGUCGUAACAAGGUUUCCGUAGGUGAACCUGCGGAAGGAUCAUUACCGAGUUAGGGUACUCUUCGUGCCCGACCUCCAACCCUUUGUCUACCUGACCAGAUGUUGCUUCGGCAGGCCCGCCGCCCCGCAAGGGGUGGCCGCCGGGGGUCCUUACCGGCCCCGGGUCCGCGCCUGUCGACGGCCCUUCUAAACUCUUGCUUAAAACGUGUCGUCUGAGUAAAACAAACAAAUAAAAACAAAACUUUCAACAACGGAUCUCUUGGUUCUGGCAUCGAUGAAGAACGCAGC